GAUGAACGCUGGCGGCGUGCCUAAUACAUGCAAGUCGAGCGAACGGACGAGAAGCUUGCUUCUCUGAUGUUAGCGGCGGACGGGUGAGUAACACGUGGAUAACCUACCUAUAAGACUGGGAUAACUUCGGGAAACCGUAGCUAAUACCGGAUAAUAUUUUGAACCGCAUGGUUCAAAAGUGAAAGACGGUCUUGCUGUCACUUAUAGAUGGAUCCGCGCUGCAUUAGCUAGUUGGUAAGGUAACGGCUUACCAAGGCAACGAUGCAUAGCCGACCUGAGAGGGUGAUCGGCCACACUGGAACUGAGACACGGUCCAGACUCCUACGGGAGGCAGCAGUAGGGAAUCUUCCGCAAUGGGCGAAAGCCUGACGGAGCAACGCCGCGUGAGUGAUGAAGGUCUUCGGAUCGUAAAACUCUGUUAUUAGGGAAGAACAUAAGUGUAAGUAGCUGUGCACAUCUUGACGGUACCUAAUCAGAAAGCCACGGCUAACUACGUG
rnacentral:rRNA from 1 species